GCCUUAGCAGGCACUGCUAAUGAAAGAACUCAGUGGGGAAACCCCCACUCAGCUCCCGAUUCGGCGUGCACCCAAGAAUCACGAAUAGAACA
rnacentral:pre_miRNA from 7 species